rnacentral:rRNA from 1 species
CUACGGGAGGCAGCAGUGGGGAAUAUUGGACAAUGGGCGAAAGCCUGAUCCAGCCAUGCCGCGUGAGUGAUGAAGGCCUUAGGGUUGUAAAGCUCUUUCAGCGGGGAAGAUAAUGACGGUACCAGCAGAAGAAGCCCCGGCUAACUCCGUGCCAGCAGCCGCGGUAAUACGGAGGGGGCUAGCGUUGUUCGGAAUUACUGGGCGUAAAGCGCACGUAGGCGGACUGGAAAGUUGGGGGUGAAAUCCCAGGGCUCAACCCUGGAACUGCCUUCAAAACUAUCAGUCUGGAGUUCGAGAGAGGUGAGUGGAAUUCCGAGUGUAGAGGUGAAAUUCGUAGAUAUUCGGAGGAACACCAGUGGCGAAGGCGGCUCACUGGCUCGAUACUGACGCUGAGGUGCGAAAGCGUGGGGAGCAAACAGGAUUAGAAACCCGAGUAGUCC